GUAACACAGACGCUCAGUGAUGGUGAGUCCCUAGCAUUGGAACUGACUGUCCUUCUCCUUCAUUUCAUCCCAGCUAGGACCUGGGGCGUCACGAUAGACUUCCGGAACAGAUACUCAAACAGCAGUUCCAAGAACAGCAAACGCUGGGAGGAGACAGUGAGGGAGACUAGGCGAGAAAUGGAUAAGGAGCCUUCCAGGUGGUGAUGCUCUUCUAGACUCUAAUCCCAUUUUACUCAAGACACAGUGUCACACAGUAAUAAAAAGGACAUCCCUGGUCCUAACUAGAGCUAAUCUGAGAA